rnacentral:rRNA from 1 species
AUUGAACGCUGGCGGCAGGCCUAACACAUGCAAGUCGAACGGUAACAGGAAGAAGCUUGCUUCUUUGCUGACGAGUGGCGGACGGGUGAGUAAUGUCUGGGAAACUGCCUGAUUGAGGGGGAUAACUACUGGAAACGGUAGCUAAUACCGCAUAACGUCGCAAGACCAAAGAGGGGGACCUUCGGGCCUCUUGCCAUCGGAUGUGCCCAGAUGGGAUUAGCUAGUAGGUGGGGUAACGGCUCACCUAGGCGACGAUCCCUAGCUGGUCUGAGAGGAUGACCAGCCACACUGGAACUGAGACACGGUCCAGACUCCUACGGGAGGCAGCAGUGGGGAAUAUUGCACAAUGGGCGCAAGCCUGAUGCAGCCAUGCCGCGUGUAUGAAGAAGGCCUUCGGGUUGCAAAGUACUUUCAGCGGGGAGGAAGGGAGUAAAGUUAAUACCUUUGCUCAUUGACGUUACCCGCAGAAGAAGCACCGGCUAACCCCGUG